ACUCCUACGGGAGGCAGCAGUGGGGGAAUAUUGGACAAUGGGGGCGAACCCUGAUCCAGCCAUGCCGCGUGAGUGAUGAAGGCCUUAGGGUUGUAAAGCUCUUUCAGCGAGGAGGAUAAUGACGUUACUCGCAGAAGAAGCCCCGGCUAACUUCGUGCCAGCAGCCGCGGUAAUACGAAGGGGGCUAGCGUUGUUCGGAAUCACUGGGGCGUAAAGCGCACGUAGGCGGAUUGAUAAGUUAGGGGGUGAAAUCCCGGGGCUCAACCUCGGAACUGCCUUUGAUACUGUCAGUCUUGAGUCCGAGAGAGGUGAGUGGAACUCCGAGUGUAGAGGUGAAAUUCGUAGAUAUUCGGAAGAACACCAGUGGCGAAGGCGGCUCACUGGCUCGGUACUGACGCUGAGGUGCGAAAGCGUGGGGGAGCAAACAGGAUUAGAUACCCUGGUAGGAUAGCG
rnacentral:rRNA from 1 species